GUCCGAGUAGUGUGCACUACAGGGGGGAGCGGCUGAUGCCAGCGCAGGUGUCCGAGUAGUGUGCACUACAGGGGGAGCGGCUGAUGCCAGCGCUGGUGUCCGAGUAGUGUGCACUACAGGGGGAGCGGCUGAUGCCAGCGCUGGUGUCCGAGUAGUGUGCACUACAGGGGGAGCGGCUGAUGCCAGCGCAGGUGUCCGAGUAGUGUGCACUACAGGGGGAGCGGCUGAUGCCAGCGCUGGUGUCCGAGUAGUGUGCACUACAGGGGGAGCGGCUGAUGCCAGCGCUGGUGUCCGAGUAGUGUGCACUACAGGGGGAGUGGCUGAUGCCAGCGCUGGUGUCCGAGUAGUGUGCACUACAGGGGGAGUGGUUUAAUCUGUGAUGAUGACGCGUGUGCACUGUUAUAAGAAUAGUUUCUACUGAGGAUCUGUGACCCGUCAACACAAACGUGCAGUUAUUCGCCCCAAUAAUAAAAUGCUUUGACAA